GCCAAAAUCAUUGGGUUUCUUCAGGUCUUACUGCACUAAUGUAUGAAAAGGAUGCUCCAACCCUACCCUAUUUCUUCAGCUCUUCAACAAAUAAGAGGAAACGCAAUUUCUCAUUCAUCUCUCAACUUCAUCUUCUCAAUCAAGCAUAAAGGCUUAUGAUUUUUCUUGCAUCUACGAUUUCACCUGGUUUUUUCGAUUUGUCUUUUAUGCCUCUGUUAUUUUUCUGCAUCUACUUCUUAUCCUAAACACAACUUGAUUUCACCAUUUCAGCUUACAACUAUUGGUUUAGAACUUUAGAUCCUUCAAGGAAUUUGGGAAAAGAAAUGGCAUACCUAUUGCCACACCUUGUGAAGUUAAAUGAGUACAUUUUUUCACAUAAACGAGUUUCAUAUUUCCUUUUUUGUUUUUGUCAAAUUUUCAAAUUAUGAAUUUUUUCUUGUCGGGUUAUAUGGAAGUAACGUAUGUGGUGAAGGGGGAGCUGAAUUUCUUGCAAGUUCUUUUCAAAAUAUCAUUAUACAAUUAAUGUUAUUUAUUUUUGUUAUAAACAUGAAACAUUUACCAAAAAGCCCUCCCCCACUAACCAGACAUAGCAGCCAACCAGUACCCCGACCAAGUGGCAAUUUAGCUACUAGCACACCGUUGUCUCCUACACCCACUUCCAUUACUCUUCAGCAAGCAGAUCCUAAACGUGAUUCACGAAGGGAUCCUCGUCGCCAUGACCCAAGCCGUGUUGUUGGAACCCCAUCAGACCAUAUUGUGGAAGAUGCUACAAGUCUGACACAGAGAGUCUGAUUUUGAUGCCUCUAUUCUGUUUAGACAACUACAACCUGCUCCACCUGUUAAUGAUGAAUUAUAAAUUCUUAUACCUAAAAUAGAAACCAAGUUUCAUAUCCCAGAAAAUAUUACCAACCAAUCAUCUUUUACAAAACAGAUUCCUAAUGAACAACAAGUUGGUCCUGAUGAGAAAUUGAAUAUUGUUUCAGAUGUAGCAAUUUCUCCUAUUGACUCACAUGAACAAAAGUCAACGGAUAUUAUUACAAUGACAGAUGAAGACCACCUGCCAUCAUCUUCAUUCUUGGACGAGGAUCAGCUUUCACCACCAGGCAGAGUGGAGACGGCUGUCAUGGAGGAAACAUAUGUUGAUUUACCUGCAGUUCCAUCUUAUGUGGAGUUGACUGAAGAAGAGCAAACAGAUGCAAGGAAAAUGGCAAUCAAAAGGAUUAUAGACUGUUGGGUUAAUCGUUAAUUUAUCGGGUCACAGUUAAGACAGGCGGAGUUUAUGCAGACACGCAUGACAUUGCUUUCUCGACUGGUUGCUUAGGUGGGGGUAGACUCCUCUUUUGAUUGGUUAACGUUUCUCCAGUUUAACUGCUUUCCUUGUUUCUCCUUUGGGGAUAUAUUCUUAUUGUUUCUAACUUUCUUUUGUAAAGGAAACCAAUACACGUUUUAUAUGUGAGAUAAUAUAAUAUGUUCUUUAUAAUAUAAUUGAUUUUUUUGUGUGUAUAAUGUGGUUCAUGUUGUAAUGUGUCAUGCUCAAAUCAUUCAUAUCUAA